rnacentral:rRNA from 1 species
CCUACGGGAGGCAGCAGUGGGGAAUUUUGGACAAGUGGGCGCAAGCCUGAUCCAGCAAUGCCGCGUGAGUGAAGAAGGCCUUCGGGUUGUAAAGCUCUUUUGUCAGGGAAGAAACGGGUCUUUCUAAUACAGAGAUCUAAUGACGGUACCUGAAGAAUAAGCACCGGCUAACUACGUGCCAGCAGCCGCGGUAAUACGUAGGGUGCAAGCGUUAAUCGGAAUUACCUGGGCGUAAAGCGGUGCGCAGGCGGUUUUUGAAGUUUGUCGUGAAAUCCCCGGGCUCAACCUGGGAAUGGCGAUGAAGACUGCAAGGCUAGAGUUUGGCAGAGGGGGGUAGAAUUCCACGUGUAGCAGUGAAAUGCGUAGAUAUGUGGAGGAACACCGAUGGCGAAGGCAGCCCCCUGGGUCAAAACUGACGCUCAUGCACGGAAAGCGUAGGGGAGCAAACAGGAUUAGGAUACCCUGGUACGUCCACGCCCUAAACGAUGUCUACUAGUUGUCGGGUCUUAAUUGACUUGGUAACGCAGCUAACGCGUGAAGUAGACCGCCGUGGGGAUCCGGUCGCGAAGAUUAAAACGUUAAUGAAAUUGACGGNUGAGACGNGACGACGACGACGACGAGGGAGGAGG